rnacentral:rRNA from 1 species
AGUGAACGCUGGCGGUAGGCCUAACACAUGCAAGUCGAACGGCAGCACAGUAAGAGCUUGCUCUUACGGGUGGCGAGUGGCGGACGGGUGAGGAAUACAUCGGAAUCUACUUUUUCGUGGGGGAUAACGUAGGGAAACUUACGCUAAUACCGCAUACGACCUACGGGUGAAAGCAGGGGAUCUUCCGACCUUGCGCGAUUGAAUGAGCCGAUGUCGGAUUAGCUAGUUGGCGGGGUAAAGGCCCACCAAGGCGACGAUCCGUAGCUGGUCUGAGAGGAUGAUCAGCCACACUGGAACUGAGACACGGUCCAGACUCCUACGGGAGGCAGCAGUGGGGAAUAUUGGACAAUGGGCGAAAGCCUGAUCCAGCCAUACCGCGUGGGUGAAGAAGGCCUUCGGGUUGUAAAGCCCUUUUGUUGGGAAAGAAAAGCAGCAGGUUAAUACCCCGCUGUUCUGACGGUACCCAAAGAAUAAGCACCGGCUAACUUCGUG